rnacentral:misc_RNA from 1 species
UACGUAGGUCGCAAGCGUUGUCCGGAAUUAUUGGGCGUAAAGCGCGCGCAGGCGGUUUCUUAAGUCUGAUGUGAAAUCUCGCGGCUCAACCGCGAGCGGUCCUUGGAAACUGGGGAACUUGAGUGCAGAAGAGGCGAGUGGAAUUCCACGUGUAGCGGUGAGAUGCGUAGAUAUGUGGAGGAACACCAGUGGCGAAGGCGACUCGCUGGUCUGUAACUGACGCUGAGGCGCGAAAGCGUGGGGAGCGAACAGG